UACGUAGGGUGCAAGCGUUAUCCGGAAUUAUUGGGCGUAAAGAGCUCGUAGGCGGUUUGUCGCGUCUGCUGUGAAAACUGGGGGCUCAACCCCCAGCCUGCAGUGGGUACGGGCAGACUAGAGUUCGGUAGGGGAGACUGGAAUUCCUGGUGUAGCGGUGGAAUGCGCAGAUAUCAGGAGGAACACCGAUGGCGAAGGCAGGUCUCUGGGCCAUUACUGACACUGAGAAGCGAAAGCAUGGGGAGCGAACAGG
rnacentral:rRNA from 1 species